rnacentral:rRNA from 1 species
CCUACGGGAGGCAGCAGUGAGGAAUAUUGGUCAAUGGACGAGAGUCUGAACCAGCCAAGUAGCGUGAAGGAUGACUGCCCUACGGGUUGUAAACUUCUUUUAUAUGGGAAUAAAAUGUUUCACGUGUGCGUUUUUGUAUGUACUUUAUGAAUAAGGAUCGGCUAACUCCGUGCCAGCAGCCGCGGUAAUACGGAGGAUCCGAGCGUUAUCCGGAUUUAUUGGGUUUAAAGGGAGCGUAGGUGGGUUGUUAAGUCAGUUGUGAAAGUUUGCGGCUCAACCGUAAAAUUGCAAUUGAUACUGGCAGUCUUGAGUACAGUAGAGGUGGGCGGAAUUCGUGGUGUAGCGGUGAAAUGCUUAGAUAUCACGAAGAACUCCGAUUGCGAAGGCAGCUCACUGGACUGCAACUGACACUGAGGCUCGAAAGUGUGGGUAUCAAACAGGAUUAGAUACCCUUGUAGUC